rnacentral:rRNA from 1 species
UACGAAGGGGGCUAGCGUUGCUCGGAAUCACUGGGCGUAAAGGGUGCGUAGGCGGGUUUUUAAGUCAGAGGUGAAAUCCUGGAGCUCAACUCCAGAACUGCCUUUGAUACUGAAAGUCUUGAGUAUGGGAGAGGUGAGUGGAACUGCGAGUGUAGAGGUGAAAUUCGUAGAUAUUCGCAAGAACACCAGUGGCGAAGGCGGCUCACUGGCCCAUUACUGACGCUGAGGCACGAAAAGCGUGGGGGAGCAAACAGG